rnacentral:misc_RNA from 1 species
GCUUCUGAUUUUUUUUCCUAUGUUUUUCUCGUUGAAACUUUUGGAAAGUGCCGAGCUUGUUCUAUUUCAUGAAGGGGAGGACAAUGUUUUCAUUGUCCUAUUGAGGUCCACCCUUCCUCACCUGAAUGAGUGUAAACAGUGGUUUUGUUCGUGGAUGGUAGGUUUGGGCAUUGGGGAGGGGGUUUCUUUGGUUAAACCUGCAUUGUAGCCAUGGCUCUUGGUCUCUUUGUGAGUCGCUUGCCCCGUUUUGAGCUAUGUUGCUUGUUUGGAUCUUUGGUCUACUAUAUGCGGUGAAGGGCUCUCUUACGUCUUGUUGUUAGUGUUUUCAAGAUUUUCAACAUCCUGUGAGUCUUUUUUGGGUGAUGAGCUCUGUAGCAGCAACCUUCGUUGUGGUAAGGUCGAUGUGCCCUAUUUUAGAGAAAUCUAUGGUUUGUUGCUAUGGGGUGGUAUGCUGGGCUGUGAUAGACUGAUAGCCGUUUUACUAAUUGUGUGGUUGGUGGUGUGACCGACUUCAAUUGCGGUGCAGCUUUUGCGGCGGAGAUGGCUGGAUGGUCGGCGGUGUGCUUCUCGUCUAGUUCUGUAAACUAGGGUUCCUAGGCAGGGAUGAAAUGAUGCCGGGUUGGGUUAGUCUGGGAUGGGCUGGUUCGGUUCGGGUGGGUUGAUUUGUUUAGGUUGGUUGGUUUGGGUGGUUUGAUUGUGCUUGUUUUCUUAUCUCAUAGUUGUGGGUUUCAAAUAUUCUCUAUAUUUUAUUAGACCCAUUUGUAUAUCUUUCCUAUUUGAGCUCUUAAUACACGAAUGCAUAUUAAAAAA